GGUACGUUGGUGCAGUGGGUAGCACUUUCCUCUCAUAGCAGAAGGGUUCUGGGUUCGAACCUGGGCCUGUCU
rnacentral:tRNA from 1 species